UCUUCGGAGGCAGGAAUAGUGUGGGUAAUCAGACUGCCGAGAAAAUCUGCUAGCUUCAGGUAUAGCGAACCGUACCGCAAACCGACACAGGUAGACGAGAUGAAUAUUCUAAGGCGCUCGAGUGAGUCGCGGCUAAGGAACUCGGCAAAUUAACCCUGUAACUUCGGGAAAAGGGGAGCUGUAGUAAUACAGCCGCAGAGAAAUGGUCCAGGCGACUGUUUAGCAAAAACACAGGGCUUUUGCCAAACCGCAAGGUGAAGUAUAAGGCCUGACACCUGCCCGGUGCUGGAAGGUUAAGAGGAGUCGUCAGCCGCAAGGCGAAGCGGUUAAUUGAAGCCCCAGUAAACGGCGGCCGUAACUAUAACGGUCCUAAGGUAGCGAAAUUCCUUGUCGGGUAAGUUCCGACCUGCACGAAUGGUGUAACGAUCUGGACACUGUCUCAGCCGCGAGCUCGGUGAAAUUGUAUUACCGGUGAGGAUGCCGGUUACCCGCUACGGGACGAAAAGACCCCCGUGCACCUUUACUAUAGCUUUACAUUGACUACGGG
rnacentral:rRNA from 1 species